CAGCUUUUUAUUCAGGCUAACCAAUUGCACUACAUUUUGCCAGUUGACGUUUGCAUACUAAACAAUCAGAUACAUCAGCAGCGGUAAUCAAGGGUCAACAGUCUGAAGGAUUGUUUUAAAAGGCAACUGUAAACAGCGUUCAGGAUCAUAGACAGGGGACAGCAAGGAAAAAAGAAUGGUUGCGACAAUAACACGGAUUAUUUUACUCACAGUUUUUAUAACACUGGGAUGUGCUAGGCCCCCGGCCCAGAACUGCGCAGACGGGCAAAUCUGGUUUCUUGAUGGUUCCUGGGAUUGCAAAUACUUAGAAACGCCGUCUUUAUUGGGUUUCCAUAGAAAUCCACUGCGUUGGUGUAGAGACAGAUUAUUUGACUGUUGUGCUACGUGUGCCAGGAUAAGAAAUCACGGAUGAAAAAGAAACAACAUAUAGGACAAUGUCGGCUGAUUAUUAUUUGUAUUGGAGUAAAAUGUUGUGGAAUGAUUGUUUAUUGUUUAAAUUAUGCCUAAAACACCAAAUUUGCUCCAUGUUAUGUUAAAGCAAAUAUAUAUUACUUUCAGACAAACGUUAUGCAUGGUUAACAAAAAAUGAAAAGGACCAAAAAUAAUAACGUAUACUGCUAUAGUCAAAUUAAUUUAUUUACAUGCGUUAUUCUAAAAUGCCAACAAAUUUGAAACAAACAAUGCCGAUUUUAUGCACAGAUUUAUAACACCUUUUUUCAUAUUAGUUUAACACUGUAAUCGACAGUAACAGUUAAUACCUGUUGUCCAUAAGUUGCACUAGAAAGAGCUACGCAAAUUCGUCUCAUAGGUGACAGUUACAUUCUAAAAAAAAGCGUCCUCCACUGUGAAAGUACGUUAAUUCCUCUGUAUUGUCCGCUCCGUGUAGCUCAUGUGAACGCAAACGGAAGACUUGCACGAUAUAAGCUGUAACUGUCGUUAACUAGUAAAGUGUUAUAUAAAUUUCAACAUUGGCGCUAUAAAAUGUGUAUUAGAUCUGGUAUUUUUGUACCAUAUUCAAAUUUUGAAUAAUAUGGGCUAAUGGUUUGAUUCAAUAUAUGUAAUUCAUUAUCUUCUCUUGUCCUUUUCGGUUUUUGUUAAUUUAUGUAAGACUUAUGUCUUUAGUAUAUUUCUUAAAGUUGACAUAUACUAAAGAAGAAAUACUUUGCGAAAAUUUUUUUUUGAAAUUUACACAGAACAAUAUUAUUUCGAUAAACAUAAUUAUAAGUGCCACGCUUUUUAAAAAAAAAUCACCGAACAUUGACAUCAAAAUUACACUUAAUGUAGACCAAUCGUGUGAUCUAAAAAUCGUAAACGUAAUCUUUAUUUUUUUUUGUUUUACAAGUAACAACUUUUGUCCAGCUCCUUUAAAGACAAACUAGUUUAACUAAAGACAUUUCCUUUUAGUUUGAUUAUUAGAAAAACGGGUAGUUCUAUUGAAAAAAAUCCUUUUUAAAGUGUAGGCUCCUGCAGCGAUAGGACCAACUGAUUAAAUCUUUGCAUGUAAGCUUGUAAGCUAGUAUACCACUUAAAACUCUACACCUUUGUACACUGUGGAAAACCUAAUAUGCUUUGCAAAUGUUCAAUAGCUCUGCUUCUACAAGGCUAUUGCCCUAUCGCACACAGAAUCCAAACUGAAUUUAGUAUAUCCAAUGAAUAUACAUCCUCUCUUUCAAGAUAUUUUUUGAAGUCCACUGCUAUAUUAAUGUAAGUAAAUUCACCAAAUGUUAAAUUCCAAACUUGUAAUAUUUUGAUAUGAAGAAAUACAGGAACGUUUUUCAA